CUUCUGUGUUUCAGUAUUGAUCAUUUUUAUUGAUCAGAUGUGUAUGUAUUCAGUCGUUCAGCUGAAUGUGUUGUCUCUCUCCUGUUCAGAUCAGUGGUGGUGGAUUUCUGCUCUUAUUCUCAUUGUUCUUCUGGUUUUGAUCUGUUUCUUGCUGCGGAGAAGGAUCUUCAGGUGUUUUCAAAGGGAAGCACAGGUUAUCCGUCAGCGUGAACCUCCAGACAACAGGGAUCUGGUGAUGAUCUGAUCAUCCAGGAAUCAGUUCAGUGAAUCGGUUCAGUGUCCAGGGGAUGAGCACCAUCUGAUUUUCUUUUUUUCUUUUUUUUUUGACAUGCAAAGGUGAUAAUCCCACCAGUCAACAUAAUGACCAUAAUGUUUUAGAGCAUUUUUCUGCAAAUAUAGGAAAAUAAAGGAUAUCAUUUAAAUAUGUGCA